CCUACGGGUGGCUGCAGUGAGGAAUAUUGGUCAAUGGGCGGGAGCCUGAACCAGCCAAGUCGCGUGAAGGAAGAAGGAUCUAUGGUUCGUAAACUUCUUUUGCAGGGGAAUAAAGUGCGGGACGUGUCCUGUUUUGUAUGUACCCUGAGAAUAAGGAUCGGCUAACUCCGUGCCAGCAGCCGCGGUAAUACGGAGGAUCCGGGCGUUAUCCGGAUUUAAUGGGUUGAAGGUGUGUGGAUAUGGUUGCGGUGAAAGUUUGCAGCUUAACUGUAAAAAUGCCGUUGAAACUGUCGGACUUGAGUGUAAAUGAGGUAGGCGGAAUGCGUGGUGUAGCGGUGAAAUGCUUAGAUAUCACGCAGAACUCCGAUUGCGAAGGCAGCUUACUAAGCUACAACUGACACUGAAGCACGAAAGCGUGGGGAUCAAACAGGAUUAGAUACCCUGGUAGUC
rnacentral:rRNA from 1 species